GACGGGGGGGGCAAGUGUUCUUCGGAAUUACUGGGCGUAAAGGGCGCGUAGGCGGCCUUCUAAGUCGAACGUGAAAUCCCCGGGCUCAACCCGGGAACUGCGUCCGAGACUGGAAGGCUUGAAUCCGGGAGAGGGAUGUGGAAUUCCAGGUGUAGCGGUGAAAUGCGUAGAUAUCUGGAGGAACAUCGGUGGCGAAGGCGGCAUCCUGGACCGGUAUUGACGCUGAGGCGCGAAAGCCAGGGGAGCAAACGGG
rnacentral:rRNA from 1 species